GGAUGCCUGCCCCCUGAUCUCUUUGUGUGUGUGUGCGCGCGCGGGGUGUAGUGCGAGAGAGCGAGGAGACGGCGUCGUGUGCGCACACUGCCAGAUUAACAAAAUACGCAUAUCCAUUUAAAUGAUCCGGACCCCGUCCUCUCAAGAGUAAUUGAUUGAGAGCCCAACUAAGACACGGAGUCAUUGUUUUGGAAGCGGGGGAAUCAAGUUACAGGGGACCCUGGCCCGCACGGAGCAUCACGCCGAUAAAACUACUUUAUUUAGUUAGCUAACUCUUUAGCUAACUAAAUCUAAAGUUUUGUUUUAAUAACUCUCCACCAUGUCUGGAAGCGAAGACGACAGGGAUGAUUUCGGAGCCCCCGAUGAUCGGCUACUACACGACGACGACGAGGAGCUCUCGGAGACCGAGACGCCCAAAGUGAAGAAGAAGAAGAAGGCCAAGAAGAGCCGCGAGAGCAAGAGCAGCAAGCGCCGGUCGCGCCGUGAGGAGCUAGCCAUCAGCUCCCCGGAGCCCAUGGAGGUGGCGGGGGGGCGCGGCGAGGAGG
ensembl:lncRNA